GACGAACGCUGGCGGCGUGCUUAACACAUGCAAGUCGAACGGAAAGGCCUGCUUUCCCUUGUGGAUUGCGGGUACUCGAGUGGCGAACGGGUGAGUAACACGUGAGUGAUCUGCCCCCAACUUGGGUAUAAGCCUGGGAAACUGGGUCUAAUUCCCGAUAGGACUGCAGGGUGGUGCCUGUGGUGGAAAACGAUUUUCUAGUGGUUGGGGAUGAGCUCGCGGCCUAUCAGCUUGUUGGUGGGGUAAUGGCCUACCAAGGCGGCGACGGGUAGCCGGCCUGAGAGAGUGGACGGCCACAUUGCGACUGAGAUACGGCCCGAGCUCCUACGGCAGGCAGCAGUGGGGAAUAUUGCACAAUGAGCGGAAGACUGAAGCAGCGAAGCCGCCUGGGGGAUGACGGCCUUCGGGUUGUAAACUCCUUUCGACCGCGAGGAAGCCACCUGGUUGGAAGGGUGGUGACGGUAGUGGUAGAAGAAGCACCGGCUAACUACGUG
rnacentral:rRNA from 1 species